rnacentral:lncRNA from 1 species
GCAUCUGAAGACGUUUGACCGGGGAAUGGUCUGGAACACGGACCUGGUGGAGACCCUGGAGCUGCAGAACCUGAUGCUGUGUGCGCUGCAGACCGUCAGUGGAGCAGAGGCGUGGAAGGAGUCACGGGGCGCGCACGCCAGGGAAGACUACAAGGUGCGGAUCGAUGAGUACGAUCACUCCAAGCUCAUCCAGGGGCAACAGAAGAAGCCCUUUGAGGAGCACUGGAGGAAGCACACCCUGUCCUAUGUGGACGUCAGCACUGGGAAGCUUGCCUGUUCACUCUGGCUGGUCAUAUGCAGAAAACCGAAACUAGACCCCUUUCUGACACCUUAUAUAAAAAUUAACUCAAGAUGCAUUAAAGAUUUAAACGUGAGACCUAAAACCAGAAAAAUCCUAGAAGAAAACCUAGGCAAUACCAUUGAGGACAUAAGCAUGGGCAAAGACUUUCAUGACUAAAACACCAAAAGGAAUGGCAACAAAAGCCAAAAUUGACAAAAGGUUUCCUUAACGACAACAAAAAAGGGAGUAAUCCUACCUACUGUAAGAGUCAUGACUCUUGAUUGCAGCUGACAGAAACUCAUGACAGCCUGGUUUAGAUAAAGGGGGAGAGAAGGACUGGAAGAAUCUUGGAGUUGGGAAUGUCGCACGUAAUUGAAGGAAGAACAAGAAAACUAUAAUUCUUCCCCUGGAGGCUGGAGUUUCCAGGAUGUCAAAAUUACCUCUGCUUGGGUGAGCUAUUUCAAGCAGCUGGGAUACCUGUGUCACUCCUGCUGUCUGCCAGUGACUGCCCAGGUGUCUGCUGGUUCCUCCCCAGGAGUAGGGAGGAACCAGGUGGGCUGGCUGGGAUGGGUGGAUAUUUAAAGACCAGGCCUUGGACGCCGCAGCACUUCUAUCUCUGCUUGAUGCCUGCUGCCACGUGGCUGGUCCUCCUCCUCUUGCUGUGGCUGAGCCCUGGGGUGAAGACAGGCAGCUAUUCCCAACCCCAGAACCUUUGCUGUCUUGGAACAGAUCACCACUGCAAGAGGGGAAGUUGCUACUGUGAUGAAUUCUGCCAUGUGGUACCAGACUGCUACCCAGACCACAGUGUCCUCUGCAACCCUCCUUCUCAGAUGACCAAGAUGGUGCUGCAGAUGGUGCUGAGGAUGGAGAACCCACCAAGCCC